GAAAACCUCGGGACGGUGAGCCGUAUUUAAUCUAGAAGGUGUACAAAACAUCCUUCUAGUUUUCUCCUUAUCUGUAGUGGAUAGCUCCGCCCAUUGCUUAGCUAAGUUACUGACUGCACAUUUGAAAGCCACAAACAAAUGCUCGAACGUCCACGAAGGUGCAUCACGAGAUAUAUUUUGCUUGAGGUCCUUUAAUUUUACAGAAGCCUUGAGUCGCUUAACGAGAGUAAUAGAGCAAUGCUCAGGAUAACUGAGAGCUGAAAUGAACUUCUCUGGAGUCCAAGAAACUUUACUAGUAACGAUUGACCUUGUAGACAUAAUGGAAACGAAUGAAUAGUAAAAAAUAUUAACCAGCAA